UGCCCCGUGGUGUAACUGGCAACACGCCUGACUCUGGAUCAGGAGAGUUCAGGUUCGACCCCUGACGGGGCAGCAA
rnacentral:tRNA from 6 species